rnacentral:tRNA from 2 species
GUACCCUUAGCUCAGUUGGUUAGAGCAGACGGCUCAUAACCGUCCGGUCGUAGGUUCGAGUCCUACAGGGUACC